rnacentral:rRNA from 1 species
UGGGGAAUAUUGCACAAUGGGCGAAAGCCUGAUGCAGCGACGCCGCGUGCGGGAUGAAGGCCUUCGGGUUGUAAACCGCCUUUGAUUGAGAGCAAGCGAGAGUGAGUGUACCUUUCGAAUAAGCACCGGCUAACUACGUGCCAGCAGCCGCGGUAAUACGUAGGGUGCAAGCGUUAUCCGGAAUUAUUGGGCGUAAAGAGCUCGUAGGCGGUUUGUCGCGUCUGGUGUGAAAAUCCAUCGCUUAACGGUGGAUCUGCGCCGGGUACGGGCAGGCUAGAGUGCGACAGGGGAGACUGGAAUUCCCGGUGUAACGGUGGAAUGUGUAGAUAUCGGGAAGAACACCAAUGGCGAAGGCAGGUCUCUGGGUCGUCACUGACGCUGAGGAGCGAAAGCGUGGGGAGCGAACAGGAUUAGAUACCCUGGUAGUCCACGCCGUAAACGGUGGAUGCUGGAUGUGGGGCCCAUUCCACGGGUUCCGUGUCGGAGCUAACGCGUUAAGCAUCCCGCCUGGGGAGUACGGCCGCAAGGCUAAA